AUGUUGUCGACGCCGCCGGCAGCCGGAGUAGCGGAGGAGCUUACGCCGCCGGAGGCGCGGCUGGCGAUGAUGGAGCUGGCGAACAUGAUCGCCGUCCCGAUGGCGCUGACGGCCGUCAUCCGGCUGGGCGUGCCGGCCGCGGUGUGGGCGGGCGGCGCCAACGCGCCGCUCUCGGCCGCGGAGCUGCUCCCGCCGGGCCACCCGGACCCGUCCGUCCUGGAGCGGCUCCUCCGCCUGCUCGCCUCCCGCGGCGUCUUCUCCGAGCACGCAGCCGACGGCCGCCCGGAGCGCCGGUACGCGCUGACGGCCGUGGGGCGCACCCUGGUCCCCUCGGGCGCCUCCGGCGCGUCGUACGCCGACUACGUGCUGCAGCACCACCAGGACGCGCUGGUGCUGGCGUGGCCGCGGCUGCACGAGGCCGUGCUCGACCCCGCCGGGCCCGAGCCCUUCGCGCGCGCCCACGCCGGCGUUCCCGCCUACGCCUACUACGGCCAGGACCGGGACGCGAACGAGGUGAUGCUCCGCGCCAUGACCGGCGUGUCGGAGCCGUUCAUGGAGGCGCUGCUGGACGGGUACGAGGGCGGGUUCGAGGGCGUGGCCACGCUGGUCGACGUCGGCGGCAGCUCCGGCGCCUGCCUGGAGAUGAUCAUGCGCCGGGUGCCCACCAUCCGCGAGGGCGUCAACUUCGACCUGCCCGACGUCGUCGCCGCCGCGCCCACCAUCGCCGGAGUAAAGCAUGUUGGUGGAGACAUGUUCAAAUCCAUCCCCUCCGGCGACGCCAUCUUCAUGAAGUGGGUUCUCACGACGUGGACCAACGACGAGUGCACGGCGAUCCUCAAGAAAUGCCACGAGGCGCUGCCGGAGGGCGGGAAGCUCAUCGCGUGCGAGCCGGUGGUGCCGGAGACGACGGACGCCAGCACGAGGACGAGGGCGCUGCUGGAGAACGACAUCUUCGUCAUGACCACCUACCGGACCCAGGGGAGGGAGCGGUCCGAGGAGGAGUUCCGGCAGCUCGGCCUCACCGCCGGCUUCGCCGGCUUCCGGGCCCUCUACCUCGACCCUUUCUACGCUGUCCUUGAGUAUGUCAAGUGA
rnacentral:rRNA from 1 species